GUCGACGUACUUCAUAGGAUCAUUUCUAUAGGUCACGUCCCUCUUUGACUCUUCAAAAGAGCCACUGAAUCCAACUUGGUUGAUGAGUGAGAUACCCUUAUACCCUCAAAGUGAGAAUUUAGUUUAGCUUGACUGUGAUUCUUUGCAAUCUGGUCAUCUACUUGUUUGCCUUUUGUUAGUGUUUGUAUUGUCUGCAAAGAUUAUUAUGAAUACGUUAAAAGGAGCGAUGAUCUUUACCCUUUUCACUAUGCCUUUUCGGAGGACUGUGGAUUGGGUGGGUAUGAGUGGCUGUCUGACAAGU
rnacentral:snoRNA from 1 species